CAAAAUUUGAUCAGGUCUUGGGGGUUUUUUUUGACUUUUCAUGUUGUAUUUCUGUUAAUUGAAGCUGUGUAGCUUUCAGUUGCUGUAUAAGGUUGAAUUAAUAAUGGAACUUGUGAGGGGCUGUGAUGCUUCUGUUUUAUUGGAUGCUGCUAAAGGGUUGAAAGCUGAGAAAGAUUCUACCCCCAACGAAAGUCAGACGGGGUUUGAUAUAAUUGACAUAAUCAAG
rnacentral:misc_RNA from 1 species